UCCAUUAUUCGUUUCUAGUAUAUACUUUUGACCAUAAGAGAGCACAUAUUGGUUUUGGACAUUUUUCCUCUGCUUUAACCAUACGAGAUAUGAGGGACUUCGAAACUUUUCUCAUUUAAACAUCUACUUAAUGAGGCAGUUAUCCACUGUGAUGUUAUUACGCGACCUGAACUCGAAGCGGCAAGGGGAUGUCUGUGUACAGUAUUAAUUAAUCCAUAUGACAGACUGACUUUUGAGUAGAGCAACAACCACCCAGUGUAAUCCGACAAGUGGGGACUUUUGAGUAGAACAACAACAACAACCCAGUAUAAUCCCACUUAGUAGGGUCUGGGGAGGGUAGAGUGUACGCAGACCUUACCCCUACCCUUGGGUAGAGAGGCUGUUUCUAAAUAGACCCCCGGCAUCCUUCCCUCCAAGCCUACCCUUGGGUAGAGAGGCUGUUUUCAAGUAGACCCCCGGCAUCCUUCCCUCCAAGAACUUCCCACCUUUUCCUUGGGGAGACUCGAACUUACAACCUCUCGGUUGGAAGUGGGGGUUGCUUACCAUCAGAGCAACCCCUCUUGUCUAGGACUUUUGAGUAGAACAAAAGAUUAAAAUGAUAACAAGCUUAUAUUUUCUUUCUGGUUUAGCAAGCUAGUGCUUUGUUAUUGCCUAUUAUAUACUGCCAUGAUUUGGCGGCUUUCCCUCGG
rnacentral:lncRNA from 1 species